UAAGGAAUAUUGGACAAUGGAGGCAACUCUGAUCCAGCCAUGCCGCGUGAAGGAAUAAGGCCCUAUGGGUUGUAAACUUCUUUUAGACGGGACAAAACCCCUUUACGUGUAAAGGGUUGAUGGUACUGUCAGAAUAAGCACCGGCUAACUCCGUGCCAGCAGCCGCGGUAAUACGGAGGGUGCGAGCGUUAUCCGGAUUUACUGGGUUUAAAGGGUGCGUAGGUGGGCCUAUAAGUCAGUGGUGAAAUCUCCGAGCUUAACUUGGAAACUGCCGUUGAUACUAUAGGUCUUGAAUUAUCUGGAGGUAAGCGGAAUAUGUCAUGUAGCGGUGAAAUGCUUAGAUAUGACAUAGAACACCAAUUGCGAAGGCAGCUUACUACAUAUAAAUUGACGCUGAGGCACGAAAGCGUGGGGAUCAAAC
rnacentral:rRNA from 1 species